rnacentral:rRNA from 1 species
CGAGGCGACGACGGGUAGCCGGCCUGAGAGGGCGACCGGCCACACUGGGACUGAGACACGGCCCAGACUCCUACGGGAGGCAGCAGUGGGGAAUAUUGCACAAUGGGCGAAAGCCUGAUGCAGCGACGCCGCGUGAGGGAUGACGGCCUUCGGGUUGUAAACCUCUUUCAGCAGGGAAGAAGCGAAAGUGACGGUACCUGCAGAAGAAGCGCCGGCUAACUACGUGCCAGCAGCCGCGGUAAUACGUAGGGCGCGAGCGUUGUCCGGAAUUAUUGGGCGUAAAGAGCUCGUAGGCGGCUUGUCACGUCGGUUGUGAAAGCCCGGGGCUUAACCCCGGGUCUGCAGUCGAUACGGGCAGGCUAGAGUUAGGUUUGGGAGAUCGGAAUUCCAGGUG